rnacentral:rRNA from 1 species
GCGUAAAGCGUGCGCAGGCGGUUAUACAAGACAGGCGUGAAAUCCCCGGGCUUAACCUGGGAAUGGCGCCUGUGACUGUAUAGCUAGAGUGUGUCAGAGGGGGGUAGAAUUCCACGUGUAGCAGUGAAAUGCGUAGAUAUGUGGAGGAAUACCAAUGGCGAAGGCAGCCCCCUGGGAUAACACUGACGCUCAUGCACGAAAGCGUGGGGAGCAAACAGGAUUAGAUACCC